CAUAGCGACUAUCGUGGCAUAUCAAUAAGCGGAGGAAAAGAAACUAACAAGGAUUCCCUUAGUAACGGCGAGUGAAGCGGGAAGAGCUCAAAUUUGAAAUCUUCAAGGGUUUACCUUUACGAAUUGUAGUUUAAAGAAGUGUUUUCUGUUGGAGUUUCGGUAAAAGUUCUUUGGAAUAGGACAUCAUAGAGGGUGAGAAUCCCGUAUUUGACCAGUUACUUUCAGCUGUGUGAUACACUUUCAAAGAGUCGGAUUGUUUGGGAAUGCAGGUCCAAAAUGGGUGGUAAAUUUCAUCUAAAGCUAAAUAUUGGCGAGAGACCGAUAGCGAACAAGUACCGUGAGGGAAAGAUGAAAAGAACUUUGAAAAGAGAGUUAAACAGUACGUGAAAUUGUCAAAAGGGAAGCGUUUGACACCAGUGUUGUUUUUCUCGAAAAUCAAUUAAAAAAGGCCGGAUUUUGUGUUGUAUUGACCUUAAAAGCUUUCUUCACUCUUUUCUUGUCUUUUUUAAUGCACUUUUCGUUUAACAAGUCAACAUCAGUUUCUUUUGUUGUAAAAGGGUCAUUGGAAGGUGGCUUUCUUUUCGGAGAAAGUGUUUAUAGCCUUUGAUCUCUGCAACCGGAGAGACUGAGGUCUGCAGCGUAGACUCUUCGGGGUUAGAUACAUUUGUGCUAAGCUAUAGCUUUUUAUAGACAACUUGUUGACUAUAUUUAGUCUUGUGGCUUACUCGCUUAUGCUAUUUUACCUACGCUUAGGAUGUUGAUAUGCAUGACUGAUAU
rnacentral:rRNA from 1 species